CUUAAACAAGGCCACUUGGGCCGGCCCACUGCCAAUUGCCCAGGAGGCCAGGUGGUGAGAGAAUUUCCCGCCACACAGGGGGCUUCUGGGAAGAAGAAGCUCCCUGCAGUGCCUGAUGAGCUGGAGGGUGCCCCACGUCACAAUGGCCCUUGCCCAGUAAGUCAGAGGCAGAAGAAGAAAUUGAAAGAUUCUGUGCUGGAGUCUAGGAGGAAACUGAUCACACACCAAACCAGGUGAUUGGAGUGCAAAUGUUCUACAGGUACUGCAGUUUCAUUCUUUUUUUAAAAAGAAGACAAGGCUCACUAGAAAAGGCAAUAUAGUAUAAGAUGGCAGGAAAAGAGGAAGACUACAUUAUGCAUCAGUCUAUACAACUAUCAAGAAAGCCAUGGUCUUGAGACUGCAAGACCUGAGCAAAGCUAUUAUGUAAUGCAGUUGAAGUAAAUAGCUUGGAUUACU